CUGAGAAAGUGUCAAUCUUCCAUUGUUAGGACCUUUUUCUUUGAGGCAAGAGAUCUCACAAGCUAAACACUUGAGCAGUUGGUGAGUGCAAAGGAUUGUAACUGCUGAUCAGUCUCAUGCCUGCCACAUAGCAGAGAAGCCAUGGUUAGCUAUCAACCUCCAACCAUUAUGAAUGAGCUCUAGCAACACCAUCUGCUUCACAAAGGAGCUAGGAUGAUGACUCCAGUUCGGACUCCCGCAAAAACAGAAGUGUCAGGGUGAAGAUGACCAGAGUGGCAAACAGACUGAGGAGAUCAGUAGAACAUUCUAAAGGACAAGAAACCUUCUGAAAGCAGAUAAAAAGUGGAGAGAUUGAUGGAAAAAUGACAGAAGACGGGAAAUGGAAAUUCCCUCCAUGAGAAUACGGAGAAGGAGAACUUCACUACCUAAGAAUGGCUGUAAAGGGUAGGGCACAGCACUGUUCUCAGUCAGAGGCAAAUGUCCACGAGCUUGAAUAUUCUCAAGAAGACAGAAGUCCUGAUCAAUGGUGCACAUACCGGCUGCCACUACAGGGACAACAUAUGUGUCCCUCUGAAUUAAUUAUAAAUGGUAGGUUUCCAUUUACAGCUCUCUUCUAUCAAAAGCUCUCACAGCCCCCCAACUUUCUUAUUUCCUGUUUUCCUUUUAUCUCAGAAUUUCCUAAGUUUGAAUCUAAGAGUCUACAAAUCAUGAACUACAUGAUUUUGAAGAGAAGUUUAACCUCAUUUUUAUAACUGGCAAAAUAUAAAUAGUUUUACAGCUUUGGGUUAUUACACAAAAAGUUCUUCAAAGAUCCCAAUGCACCCUAUGGAUAAAGCUGAUUGGUAAUGGACAUAUGGAGAACCUUAAUGUAUAUAACAUGAAUAACUCAUAGAGCCUUGAUCAGUGUCAGAUGAGAAUAUACAGGUAGAACUUUAAUUAAUAACCACAGAAACCUAACCCAACAAUGCCAAUAAGUUCCCAAUAAUAUUAUUAUGUAUAGUCAUAUAGAAAAGUUUAUGUGAUCCUAUUUUCCAUUUCUGAUUGAUUACGCACCUUUUCAUCAGCUUGUAUAUUUGCCAAGUCCCCUGGGCAAUGGUGUUACUGAUUUGGACCUCUGCCUGUUGGACCUCUUUUCUAGUAUUUGUAUUACUGUCACAAAAUUAUUCUUCUGGUUAUGUUUAUUCAGUUGGUUAAAAUUAAGUGAAAUAAAUAUGCUUGCUAUUUUUGUCUCAUUUCA